rnacentral:rRNA from 1 species
CCUACGGGAUGCAGCAGUGAGGAAUAUUGGUCAAUGGACGAGAGUCUGAACCAGCCAAGUAGCGUGAAGGAUGACUGCCCUAUGGGUUGUAAACUUCUUUUAUAUGGGAAUAAAACGUUCCACGUGUGGGAUUUUGUAUGUACCAUAUGAAUAAGGAUCGGCUAACUCCGUGCCAGCAGCCGCGGUAAUACGGAGGAUCCGAGCGUUAUCCGGAUUUAUUGGGUUUAAAGGGAGCGUAGGUGGAUUGUUAAGUCAGUUGUGAAAGUUUGCGGCUCAACCGUAAAAUUGCAGUUGAAGCUGGCAGUCUUGAGUACAGUAGAGGUGGGCGGAAUUCGUGGUGUAGCGGUGAAAUGCUUAGAUAUCACGAAGAACUCCGAUUGCGAAGGCAGUUCACUGGACUGCAACUGACACUGAGGCUCGAAAGUGUGGGUAUCAAACAGGAUUAGAUACCCCAGUAGUC